GACGAACGCUGGCGGCGUGCUUAACACAUGCAAGUCGAACGGAAAGGCCCUGCUUUUGUGGGGUGCUCGAGUGGCGAACGGGUGAGUAACACGUGAGUAACCUGCCCUUGACUUUGGGAUAACUUCAGGAAACUGGGGCUAAUACCGGAUAGGAGCUCCUGCUGCAUGGUGGGGGUUGGAAAGUUUCGGCGGUUGGGGCUGGACUCGCGGGUUAUCAGCUUGUUGGUGGGGUAGUGGCUUACCAAGGCUUUGACGGGUAGCCGGCCUGAGAGGGUGACCGGCCACAUUGGGACUGAGAUACGGCCCAGACUCCUACGGGAGGCAGCAGUGGGGAAUAUUGCACAGUGGGCGGAAGCCUGAUGCAGCAACGCCGCGUGCGGGAUGACGGCCUUCGGGUUGUAAACCGCUUUCGCCUGUGACGAAGCGUGAGUGACGGUAAUGGGUAAAGAAGCACCGGCUAACUACGUG
rnacentral:rRNA from 1 species